AACGCACCUUGCGCUCCUUGGUAUUCCGAGGAGCAUGCCUGUUUGAGUGUCAUUAAUAUAAUCAACCUUCAACUUGUUUGAGUGGUUUGGAUGUGGGGGUUUGCUGGCCUCUCAAAAGGUUUCAGCUCCUCUGAAAUGCAUUAGCAGAACAAACCUUGUUCAUUGGUGUGAUAACUAUCUACGCUUAUGAAUGUGAGGGGCAGUUCAGCUUUCUAAUCGUCUUUGGACAAUUCAUCAUUAAUGUGACCUCAAAUCAGGUAGGACUACCCGCUGAACUUAA
rnacentral:misc_RNA from 1 species